rnacentral:rRNA from 1 species
CUCACCAGGUCAGGACACGGUAAGGAUUGACGGACUGAAGGCUCUUUCUCGAUUCCGUGGAAAGUGGUGCAUGGCCGUUUUUGGUUGGUGGAUCGAUCCGUCUGGUUAAUUCCGUUAACGAACGAGACCUCGGCACUCCGAAUAGCGCGGCGGACGUCGCGGCCUCCGGGCCGUCUUCCGCACGAGCUUCUUAGAGGGACCGUCCCCCGCCGGGGAAGGAGGUGCGAGGCAACGACAGGUCUGUGAUGCCCUUAGAUGUUCUGGGCCGCACGCGCAUUACACUGACGCGUCCAACGGGUGACUCCCGACCCGAAGGGGCCGGGGAAUCCGCAAGGCGCGUCGUGAUGGGGAUUGAACGUUGCAAUUGUUGUUCACGAACGAGGAAUUCCUAGUAGGCGCGGGUCAUCAACCCGCGCCGAUUACGUCCCUGCCCUUUGUAC